rfam:Oikopleura dioica, whole genome shotgun assembly, reference scaffold set, scaffold scaffold_16
AAACCGGCCCUUUUUAGGGCCACAAAUUCAAACAUGUUUUUACUG